rnacentral:rRNA from 1 species
UACGUAGGGGGCGAGCGUUGUCCGGAAUUACUGGGCGUAAAGGGUGUGUAGGCGGUUUGACAAGUUAGAAGUGUAAUACCUAGGGCUUAACUCAGGUGCUGCUUCUAAAACUGUCAGACUUGAGUGCAGGAGAGGUAAGCGGAAUUCCUAGUGUAGCGGUGGAAUGCGUAGAUAUUAGGAGGAACAUCAGUGGCGAAGGCGGCUUACUGGCCUGUAACUGACGCUGAGGCACGAAAGCGUGGGGAGCAAACAGG